GACGAACGCUGGCGGCGUGCCUAAUACAUGCAAGUAGAACGCUGAAGGAGGAGCUUGCUUCUCCGGAUGAGUUGCGAACGGGUGAGUAACGCGUAGGUAACCUGCCUGGUAGCGGGGGAUAACUAUUGGAAACGAUAGCUAAUACCGCAUAACAGUAGAUGUUGCAUGACAUUUGCUUAAAAGGUACAAUUGCAUCACUACCAGAUGGACCUGCGUUGUAUUAGCUAGUUGGUGAGGUAACGGCUCACCAAGGCGACGAUACAUAGCCGACCUGAGAGGGGGAUCGGCCACACUGGGACUGAGACACGGCCCAGACUCCUACGGGAGGCAGCAGUAGGGAAUCUUCGGCAAUGGACGGAAGUCUGACCGAGCAACGCCGCGUGAGUGAAGAAGGUUUUCGGAUCGUAAAGCUCUGUUGUAAGAGAAGAACGAGUGUGAGAGUGGAAAGUUCACACUGUGACGGUAUCUUACCAGAAAGGGACGGCUAACUACGUG
rnacentral:rRNA from 1 species